AUUGAACGCUGGCGGCAGGCUUAACACAUGCAAGUCGAGCGGGGACUUCGGUCCUAGCGGCGAACGGGUGAGGAAUGCUUGGGAAUCUGCCCAGUAGCGGGGGAUAACGUUUCGAAAGGAACGCUAAUACCGCAUACGCCCUACGGGGGAAAGGGGGGGAUCUUCGGACCUCUCACUAUUGGAUGAGCCCAAGUCGGAUUAGCUAGUUGGUGGGGUAAAGGCCUACCAAGGCGACGAUCCGUAGCUGGUACGAGAGGAUGAUCAGCCACACUGGAACUGAGACACGGUCCAGACUCCUACGGGAGGCAGCAGUGGGGAAUAUUGGACAAUGGGCGAAAGCCUGAUCCAGCCAUGCCGCGUGUGUGAAGAAGGCCUUCGGGUUGUAAAGCACUUUAAGCGAGGAGGAAUGGCUGAGGGUUAAUAACCUUCAGCAGUGACGUUACUCGCAGAAUAAGCACCGGCUAACUCUGUGCCAGCAGCCGCGGUAA
rnacentral:rRNA from 1 species